rnacentral:misc_RNA from 1 species
AAGUCGUAACAAGGUUUCCGUAGGUGAACCUGCGGAAGGAUCAUUAUUGAAAGUAAACUGUGGUCGGUUGAGCUGGCUCCUCUGGAGCAUGUGCUUGCCUUCUGCGCUUUCUACUUAUCCACCUGUGCACUCAUGUAGACGGUAGGCUCAGUUGUCUCUCCUUAGGGAGAGGAUGGGAGACUUGCACUCUGUGCUCGACUCCGAUGACCUGCUUGUCUAUGUUAUACAUACACUUUUUAAAACUUUGAAUGUCUGUCUUAUUGGUCUUUGACCUUUAAACAAUAUACAACUUUCAGCAACGGAUCUCUUGGCUCUC